rnacentral:tRNA from 1 species
GGGCGCAUAGCUCAGUUGGUAGAGCAGCUGACUCUUAAUCAGCGGGUCCAUGGUUCGAGUCCAUGUGCGCCCA